CAGCAGCCGCGGUAAUACGUAGGGUGCGAGCGUUAAUCGGAAUUACUGGGCGUAGAGCGUGCGCAGGCGGUUCGUUAAGACAGAUGUGAAAUCCCCGGGCUUAACCUGGGAACUGCAUUUGUGACUGGCGAGCUAGAGUAUGGCAGAGGGGGGUAGAAUUCCACGUGUAGCAGUGAAAUGCGUAGAGAUGUGGAGUAAUACCGAUGGCGAAGGCAGCCCCCUGGGCCAAUACUGACGCUCAUGCACGAAAGCGUGGGGAGCAAACAGGAUUAGAUACCCCAGUAGCCCUGUCUCUUAUACA
rnacentral:rRNA from 1 species